UACGUAGGUGGCAAGCGUUGUCCGGAUUUACUGGGCGUAAAGGGCGUGCAGGCGGUUUGUUAAGUGCAGGGUGAAAGCUCCCGGCUCAACUGGGAGAGGUCCUUGCAUACUGGCAAACUCGAGGGAGGCAGAGGAAAGUGGAAUUCCCGGUGUAGUGGUGAUAUGCGUAGAUAUCGGGAGGAACACCUGUGGCGGAAGGCGGCUUUCUGGGCCUUACCUGACGCUG
rnacentral:rRNA from 1 species